ACUUUUUAAGUGAAUUGUGAGACCAAAAUUGGUCUCUGCCUUUCUCUCUCUCUCCCGACAGACGCCUCUGCUUCUCCUUCUUGUCUUUUUUUUUCUUUUCUUUUCACUUCAAGCUUCCAUUGUUGAUUACUCCUUCAUCUUUUGUCGGAUUGAGGUGCCGUUUGAGGUAAAACGAAGCUUGUAUCGAGCUCUACACAUCCAUACCAACAAUUCCAGAUUUGGUGCACCCUUUGGACUUUGAAAUUUAGGACCCAUUUUCUAGGGUUUGCUCAUUUUUGAGGUCUUGGAAAAGAACCGGUGGACGACAACCCACCUCAAGCUUGAGCGAUACGAGAAGCUCACUUUUGUGUCUUUUGUAUAUCUCCCAUUAUUUUUGCAAAGCACUAAAAGUGUGAAGGUGUAUAUGUAUAUUUUGCAAAACUUUGUUAUGUAAUGUAAGGUAUUUGAUGAUAUUUUGGAUGUGAAUUUGAUAACAUGUAAACCUUAUUGAUGCAUGGGGAGAGUAAUACUAGUUUGAGGUAUUAUCGAGGUCA